GACGAACGCUGGCGGCGUGCUUAACACAUGCAAGUCGAGCGGUAAGGCCCUUUCGGGGGUACGACGAGCGGCGAACGGGUGAGUAACACGUGGGUGACCUGCCCUCAGCUCUGGGAUAAGCCUGGGAAACCGGGUCUAAUACUGGAUAUGACUCCAUGACGCAUGUUGGUGGGGUGGAAAGCCUUGUGCGGCUGAGGAUGGGCCCGCGGCCUAUCAGCUUGUUGGUGGGGUGAGGCCUACCAAGGCGACGACGGGUAGCCGGCCUGAGAGGGCGACCGGCCACA
rnacentral:rRNA from 1 species